AAUAUUGUGCCUGAAAAAAGGGUUAUUUUGAUAGAAUAAAUUAUACAGAAGCAUUCUGUCAAUAUUA
rnacentral:tRNA from 1 species